UGAUGGAAUAGGACGUCUAAGCACAAAGGUUGAGUAGUAGGCAAAUCCGCUGCUCAUAAGACUGAAGUGUGAUGGGGAGCGAAAUUUAGUAGCGAAGUCAAUGAAGCCAAACUCUCAAGAAAAGCCGCUAUCGAGAUAAGAGGUGCCCGUACCGCAAACCGACACAGGUAGUUGGGAAGAGAAUUCUAAGGUGAGCGAGAGAACCAUCGUUAAGGAACUCGGCAAAAUGACCCCGUAACUUCGGGAGAAGGGGUGCCUACGAGAGUAGGCCGCAGUGAAUAGGCCCAAGCGACUGUUUAACAAAAACACAGGUCUCUGCAAAACCGUAAGGUGAAGUAUAGGGGCUGACGCCUGCCCGGUGCUGGAAGGUUAAGAGGAGUGCUUAGCGUAAGCGAAGGUAUGAAUUGAAGCCCCAGUAAACGGCGGCCGUAACUAUAACGGUCCUAAGGUAGCGAAAUUCCUUGUCGGGUAAGUUCCGACCCGCACGAAAGGCGUAACGAUUUGGGCACUGUCUCAACGAUGGACUCGGUGAAAUCAUAGUACCUGUGAAGAUGCAGGUUACCCGCGACAGGACGGAAAGACCCCAUGGAGCUUUACUGUAGCUUGAUAUUGAAUUUUGAUGCAGUAUGUACAGGAUAGGUAGGAGCCAGAGAAUCAUGCACGCCAGUGUAUGAGGAGGCGUUGUUGGGAUACUACCCUUGCUGUAUUGAAAUUCUAACCCUCGGCGUAGAAGACCGGGAGACAGUGUCAGGUGGGCAGUUUGACUGGGGCGGUCGCCUCCCAAAGAGUAACGGAGGCGUUCAAAGGUUCCCUCAGAAUGGUUGGAAAUCAUUUGCAGAGUGUAAAGGCACAAGGGAGCUUGACUGUGAGACCUACAAGUCGAGCAGGUGCGAAAGCAGGACUUAGUGAUCCGGUGGUUCCGCAUGGAAGGGCCAUCGCUCAACGGAUAAAAGCUACCCUGGGGAUAACAGGCUUAUCUCCCCCAAGAGUCCACAUCGACGGGGAGGUUUGGCACCUCGAUGUCGGCUCAUCGCAUCCUGGGGCUGUAGUCGGUCCCAA
rnacentral:rRNA from 1 species